CUAACAUUGGAUUUUAAGUUAUGAGCUGCAAGGGCACCACUUCAUCUCACCUCGUUGUGGUUACUGGAACCUGAGCAGUUAUUCCUGACUGACUUUUAAGAACCAGGGAGACUCUGUGAUGGGAGCAGGUUGUCCACAGUGGCCAAGUGGGCCCAGGAAAUGCACAUUUGGAUAUUUCAAGUGUGGAGGCAGGCUACAACCUGUGCCGAAGGGGAAGAAAACUCACACCGACCCAUUCAUCUUCUGGAAAACUUCUCUGAUCACGCAAACCCCUCCGGAAAUCCCGUCGCCUUCACAAACCCCACGUGCCACCCCUCCGUAGAGCCCGUGGUUGGUUCUGGAGCGAGCCGUCUGCUUUUACGCCCCCAACGGCAGUGGUGAACUCCUGCUGUCCACCGCCUGGCCUUCCCUUCCCCGUGUCUGCUGGGAGUCACACUCACCACGCCACGUCACCGCCUCCAGGAAGACUUCUCUGAAUGCAUUCUGGAGAGAGGGUCCCUCAUCUCUGAAUUCUUCUCAGAGCUCUUUCAACUGUUGGUUUUGUAAUUCCUGCAUGUUUUAGCUCAUGCUUCAGCUCCAGGUUCUGCAGUUUACUCGUCUGUAAAAUGGGAUCUUAGCAGUACCCAGUGCACCCACUGUGAAGACUGAGGUUGGAGUUGCAUAAACUAGCAGAAAGACCAGGUCCAUAGACGUUAGUGAUAGAAAUGGUUGUUUCUGGGACCCCUGGGUGGCUCAGUUGGUUAAGCGUCUGCCUUCGACCUCAGGUCAUGAUCCUAGGGCCCUGGGAUGGAGCCCCACGUCAGCCUCCCUGCUCAGUGGGGAGCCUGCUUCUCCCUCUCCCCUCACCCUGCUCCUGUUCACUCUCUCUCUCUCUCAAGUAAAUGAAUAAAAUUAAAAAAAAAAAAAGAAAUGACUGUUUC
rnacentral:lncRNA from 12 species